rnacentral:lncRNA from 1 species
UUUUAAGAAAGAUAUACCUGGAAGGCCCUUACAUCAGGCCCCCAAUGUACCAUAGCAGGUAUGACAGCAAAAUUACAAAGGAUUAUUGAGAUCAUGGCUACUUACAUAUAUGUCUAGAAUGGGACAAAAAGAUACUUGUGUAAACUCAUUUACAGGUGACAAAAUGCAAUUACAGACAUGAAGUGUCCCCUGGAGGAUGGUUGCUCACAGAUGCCACCAGUACUUUAGCAGUGCAACCGUUAAAUGAAAUGAAAACAAAGAAUCAGAUUCUCUAAACAUCCAGUUCAAAUAAAAA